UACGUAGGGUGCGAGCGUUGUCCGGAAUUAUUGGGCGUAAAGAGCUCGUAGGCGGUUUGUCGCGUCGGCCGUGAAAACUUGGGGCUUAACCCCAAGCCUGCGGUCGAUACGGGCAGACUUGAGUUCGGCAGGGGAGACUGGAAUUCCUGGUGUAGCGGUGAAAUGCGCAGAUAUCAGGAGGAACACCGGUGGCGAAGGCGGGUCUCUGGGCCGAUACUGACGCUGAGGAGCGAAAGCGUGGGGAGCAAACGGG
rnacentral:rRNA from 1 species